rnacentral:sRNA from 1 species
CCGGCUGUCGCGUAUCCUCACGGGCUUUGCGAUGGCUUUUGUUAAACCGACCUUUCCCAAGGAGAUCAAUAGUGGCCCGUAUCGCUGGCAUCAAUGUGCCUGAU